AUUGUUGAAUGUAGCUGAGUAACGAGACGGUUUGGAUGGGAUUGCAUUUUGGAAUGUAGUCUUUUGUAAUAUAUGUGUGCAGUUUUUUUAACUGUAGCUAUUUUGAGGUCUUCACGGAGGGAGUUGUUGGUGACGUACCACGGUGCUUUGGUUAUCAUACGGAGACAAAUAGACUGGAACGCCUGUAUUGUCCUUAUGUUAGACGGCUUUGCAACACCCCAGAGCGCGAUACCAUAUGACCAUAUUGGUUGAAGGAGGGAUUUGUAAAGAAGUAGACGAUAGGAUAUGUGCUGGUUGUGUUGGAUGAGCGGUCUUAUUAGAUGAUGACGAGUAUUUAGCUGUUUCCGUUUACUUUUAAGAUGAGGACCCCAUGUGAGCGUUCUGUCGAAUAGCAAGCCCAGAUAUUUCGCUUCCCUUGCUUGUGGAAUAAUAUUGUUGUUGAGAAUUAUGUUAGGACAGACAUUUUGACAAAGGGUGAAGGUGAUGUGGGUAGAUUUUAGUUCAUUGAUUUUUAUUUUCCAGGUGUUACACCACUUGGAUAAUAUGUUGAGGUGAGAUUGUAAAAAUUUGCUACAGUUAUGCAGAUCUUGAUCGGCAGCUAGCAUUGCAGUGUCAUUUGCGUAUGUUCCGAUGAGUGUUUGCGGUAUGUGGAAUGUCAGCUGUGUAGAUGAUGUAUAAGAAAGGAGCAAUGUCGCUACCUUGGGGGACUCUGGCUUGAAUAUUAUGAUAAUCGGAUAGUGUUGAAUUAAGUUUGAUUCUAAAAGACCUAUUUUCAAGGUAUGAUUUGAGUAGUAGAAAGUAUGGUGCAGGAAAUAUUUUUUUUAAUUUAUAUAGUAAGCCGGUGCCAGACCGUAUCAAAUGCUUGCGCGACGUCGAGGAAUACGGCAGAGCAGUAUUUUUUGGAUUCGAGAGAUGUAGCAAUAGUAUCUACGACUCUGUGGAGUUGAUGGAAUGUGGCAUGUUUUAGUCGAAAACCAAACUGAAAUUCAGUUUUCAACUAUCAGAUUCAUAAACCCAUUCCAAUCAGAAGACAUUACGCUGUUGAUGGAUGAAAUCGACGUUGUAUUUGUUAUUCAAACAAGGGUUUGGGAUAUACAAUACAUAGGAUUGAUGGGAUUAUACUGUGUGUUUACAAAUAUAUCACUCUAGGUGAAUCGUUCUAUAUAGGUCUGCCACAAUAAUUUGAAAAUCAAUAGACUACAAUAAACGUUCAGAACGUAAAUGACAAGUUGGUGUAGAACAAUGAUGGUCGCUUUGAGAAUUGGGAAUUUGGAUUACUAUAUAAAUGCUCAUUUACAAUAUUAGAAUAUAUUUCCAUGUACUUUUAGAAGUAUAUGAAAAGUGUUUAAAAACAAAGGAAUAAGGUUUGGAAAUAACAAUAAAAGAAUAGAGCAAAACCAGAUCGCUACAAUUAUCGCUGGUGAAAACUGCUAGCAAUGACUCAUUUCUCGAGACACUUGGGCAUAUGAUCGCAUACAUUAGUUCUUAUAAAUUUUUAGUACUAGAUUUUGAUAAUUUGUCGCAAGACUACAACUUAUGUAAACAUAAUUUUUGAAGUUGUUCCGAAACGACAACUUUUAACAUAUUUCAAGUUAUUUAAGUGUACUACAAUAAAAAAAAAUGGCAAACCAUUUUUAUUGUAACUAUAAGUUUUAAUUUCAUUAUGCAUUUAAAAAAAACGAUUUAAAAAAUGUUGUACAAAUAAAAAUGUAAAACAAAAAUUAAUCGACUGUGAAAAGCUUUAUGGCAAACAUAUGCCAGUAGUUUUGUUCAAAAAAUAAUUUUUUUAUUAAAUGACAUAAUUUUUAGUUUACCUUUGCAUUGAUCACUGUCCAAUAUCUAUACAUGUUCAACCAUGCCAAGUGCUUACUAUGCUGGAUUUUUAAUUGAAAGGCACCGGUGUCCAAGUCUCAGCAAUCAUCUAUUAUGCGCAUAACUUGAGUCACUUUUCUUGCUGAUAAGCGAAAUAUAUAUCUUCAUAUAAAUGGACUUUUAUAACCUAAGAUAUUAUCAUUUUAUCAUGAUACCUGUUGCUGCUUUUGCACACGAUGCAGUCGCGCGUUAUAUCUGUUUUUGCAGUUACCUUGCCACAAUCGCUUAUUGGUGUCCAAUACAAAUAUCGACGUUAUAAAAUGAGGUACGCGACGAACCGUUGGACAUCUUCUUAUGACAACAAAACAUAUGAUUGUAUACAUCAUAUUAGUUCUUAUACAUUCCUGGUAUUACAUUUUUAUAUGUAUUUCGAAAAACAAUCUCAAUUAUUAAAUUCGUUCAUGAUACCUCAUGAAUUCCUAGUACGAAGUUUUAAACAUGCACAAUAUUGUGUAAUCUGAUACGGAACAGUAGGGAAUACAACUAAUUUUCCAUUUAAACGUGCGCCCUUAACAAAAAUCUAAAUUGGUGGAUACACAAAUUUCGUACCUCACAAAUUUAUCCAGUUAAUAAAUAAAUUUAAUUUUAUAUGAUCUUAGAUAAAAUAACACAAAAGAGACAACAUUUUGUCUGUAUGUUAAAUAUUUUGAUAUAAAAUCACUGAAAUAAACAUUAUUGUAAAACUCUACAUUUCAUAGUUUCU